rnacentral:lncRNA from 1 species
GGGCUUUCGACUCAUUUCACCUGUCCUAAUCUAGUUUUCGAGCCUUUGGCUCGAGUCUUGCUCCACCUGUAUUAAAUUUACAACUCUGGCUUCGAGGCCCAAAAUGAAGGAAUAAUGAAAAGAAAAAAAUAAAGACAACAAUAAAUGACUAAAUAAAUAAACACAUAAACAAAUAAAUGAAAAAUGGAACUUUCAAGUCGACUUUAACCCAUUUUUCUUCUUUUGACUCCUUAUAUUUAUUUGUCAUGCGAUCAAUGUUGGAUUGAGUUUUGAGGAUAUAGGCUCCAUUGGCCCCUUCAAAACAUGUGCAGUAGGAGGGAGUCCCUUGUAGACUCCAAAUGGAUGACAUACAAACGAAAAAGAGAAGGAAGGAUUAGAGUCUAUUCCAUAUCCAAAUCACUGAUUUAGUACCAAACAGAAUAAGACAAAUUAUAUAUAUAUUCAAUGAAUAAUUUCAAGCAAAAUAAAUUAGAUCUUUAUUCGAGCAGGGCCGACUAAAAGGAGAACAACACAAUAUCAAAUUAUCUUUGGGGAACAUUUAAUUCGUGAGGCUAAUAAGGGUACAGUCAAUUACAAGUCUUGAACCUCUUGAGAAAAUAAUUAGAAUCAAGCAUCUUUAGAUAGAAAAAAAUAGAGCAAUUUUAUGGACCGGGUUCUAUCACAACAAACCCAUCUAGUAAAAAUAUUUCCUGAUUCGCAUAGGUACAAAAAAUAUUCCUACACAGAGACAACACCAAAGGACAAAAACCACUCUCAGGUAAUGUUAGAUGGAAUCUGGGAAUGUGAUUUUUGAACCAAUCAUGCAAAUAAACUAAAUUUCAAAAAUUAACAAGUAAUAAAUAUUCAAAUGAAAACUCUUUAGACCAACAUCUCCCUCUUCUUUGGCAAGUCACGAAGAAUCGUGAGUCCAGCGUUCACCGGGGAAUAUAGGCAAUACUUGAAGUAAUGACGAGAGAAGCCCCACAAAUUCUGAGUAAAACAGGUGAACCGGGAAGAUUAACUAGAGAUCCAGCAAAGAUAACUUCUGCCCAACAAAUUCAAUGAACGAAACCUUAACUAGGACAGUCAAAUAGAAGAGAUAUCGAUUAAGAGAGUUUUUAAUAAGACAAAGAGUUUAGCAUUAAAGCUAGGAUUAACACAUAUUCAAUUGGUACGGCAGACAGUAAAUCAGAUGGCAUUCAAGUUAAAGAAAACCCAAGGCAGCAUAAUGAGUCAACGUGGAAAAUCUUGAAACCAAAAGAAACAAUAAUAAUACUAAGAUUAGCAUAAAAAUUCUCUUGUAAGAAAAAUCAUAAUAAAGUCAUGAACUUUUUGCACAAACAGUCAAGACAGUGAAUUAAACACGACCAAAAUACCCACACCACAUAAUGACGGAUACAAUCAUCGUCACAAGAAUCCUAGGGCCUUCACGGCUCAGAGCAGACAAUUCCCAAGCAUCUCUAAAGCUAAUAACGCCACUAACAGAUCAUUGACAAGAGGAAAACAUCGAAACUAAACCUAACAGAUCAAUGACAAGACGAAAACAUCGAAACUAAAACUAACAGAUUAAUGACAAGGAGAAAACGUCGAAACUAAAAAGGAUGAUAUAUUUACCUCUUAUAGGAUAGUAAAACGGGACCUCGAACUAAGUCAGAAUCAGCCUCCACCGAAACACGUCGUCGUAGUCGGUUUAGAAACUCUAAUUACUAACCAAAUUCCCAAAGAAAAAUAAAAAAAUUUAGCUAAAAGAACUACAUUUUUUCCUUUACUCAAGGCCCUCUUUUCUCUUUUUCAGGACCCCUCUUUUUGCUCUCAAGAGAGCUAUUUAGAGAAGAUCCCCCCUUCAGAAAAAUACACCCAAAAGAAUAUCCUCCCAAAAAUCCAUUUUCUUGCUCUAAAGAGAUUUAUAUAUAGAGAACAGAGAAAAACCCUUUUUCAAAAGUUUUUCCACCGAUGUGGGAUAAAGUCCUUCAGAGGAAAAUUGGGGAAUUCCUCAAAAAGGAAUUCAAAAUUUGAACUCCAUAUCAAAUUCCCCCAACAAAAUUGGUAUUUUUUGAGGGAAUUCAAUGGGGGGUUGGCCAAUAGAAUUUUUUUGCAAAACGAAUUCCCUCAAGAACCAAUAGAAAUCCACCAAAUAUGUACGAAAUAGUACCAUCGUGGUCGAGAUUUGCGCAAUUAGUGUUAUGGUACGUGAGGUGUCCAAUUUCUAGAAAUUUCAUUAAAGAAACACAUUGAAUUCGCGGGUCGGACCCAGAUUCAGGUUUUUUGGGUUUGCGGGUUUGGCGGUUUGGAGCAUACCGUCGACGUUGGUGUUCGUUAGUCGCAAUUUUGGGCUGUUUUUUUUUGUAUCGAUGGUGCUGCUGGGUUUGAUA